AACUUAGUAGUCUAAUCGAGUAGGAUGCGGGUUUUGGGAGCUUGAGGUCUCUUUAUUGAGCUGAUUGG
rnacentral:tRNA from 1 species